UACAGAGGUCCCAAGCGUUGUUCGGAUUUACUGGGCGUAAAGGGUGCGUAGGCGGUUGGGUAAGUUCGAUGUGAAAUCUCCAGGCUCAACCUGGAAACUGCAUUGAAUACUAUCCGGCUGGAGGGUUGGAGGGGAGACUGGAAUUCUCGGUGUAGCAGUGAAAUGCGUAGAUAUCGAGAGGAACACCAGUGGCGAAGGCGAGUCUCUGGACAACUCCUGACGCUGAGGCACGAAAGCCAGGGGAGCAAACAGG
rnacentral:rRNA from 1 species